UACAGAGGCCUCGAGCGUUAGGCGGAAUCACUGGGCGUAAAGCGUGUGUAGGCGGAUGCCUAAGUACCUUGUGAAAUCCCACGGCUUAACCGUGGAACUGCUGGGUAUACUGGGUGUCUUGAGCCACUCAGGGGCUACCGGAACAAACGGUGGAGCGGUGAAAUGCGUAGAUAUCGAGAGGAACACCGGAGGCGAAAGCGGCCAUCUGGCGAGACAUUGACGCUAAGGUGCGAAAGCGUGGGGAGCAAACAGG
rnacentral:rRNA from 1 species